GCCCUCCAGACUCUUUACCCUCAGAUCUAAAUACUGGUCUUGAGUAGCUGCAAAAGGCAGAAAAGUAAAACUGAAGUGACUGGAGCCUUUCCAACGUACAAGUUCUUUCAAACAUAU
rnacentral:snoRNA from 1 species